rnacentral:rRNA from 1 species
GAUGAACGCGGGCGGCGCGCCUAACACAUGCAAGUCGAACGAUUAAAGCACCUUCGGGUGUGUAUAAAGUGGCGAACGGCUGAGUAACACGUGGGCAACCUGCCCCUCUCAUUGGGAUAGCCACGGGAAACCGUGGAUAAUACCGAAUACUUCGGGACUUCCGCAUGGAAGACUCGAGAAAGCUCCGGCGGAGAGGGAUGGGCCCGCGGCCUGUUAGCUUGUUGGUGGGGUAACGGCCUACCAAGGCAAUGAUGGGUAGCUGGGUUGAGAGACCGACCAGCCAGAUUGGGACUGAGACACGGCCCAGACUCCUACGGGAGGCAGCAGUGGGGAAUCUUGCACAAUGGGCGAAAGCCUGAUGCAGCGACGCCGCGUGCGGGAUGAAGGCCUUCGGGUUGUAAACCGCUUUCAGCAGGGACGAGGCGAAAGUGACGGUACCUGCAGAAGAAGCCCCGGCUAACUACGUGCCAGCAGCCGCGGUAAUACGUAGGGGGCAAGCGUUAUCCGGAUUCAUUGGGCGUAAAGCGCUCGUAGGCGGUCUGUUAGGUCGGGAGUUAAAUCCGGGGGCUCAACCCCCGUUCGCUCCCGAUACCGGCAGACUUGAGUUUGGUAGGGGAAGGUGGAAUUCCUAGUGUAGCGGUGGAAUGCGCAGAUAUUAGGAAGAACACCAGUGGCGAAGGCGGCCUUCUGGGCCAUAACUGACGCUGAGGAGCGAAAGCUAGGGGAGCAAACAGG